rnacentral:misc_RNA from 1 species
GUGAAUCAUCGAAUUUUUGAACGCAAAUUGCACUCUCUUCGGAGAGUAUGCCUGUUUGAGGGUCAGCCUAAAAAAAAUCGACAUGGUCGCUGCUUGGCGGUGCCAUUCGUCGGAAAUUGGGUCAUCUUAAACCUUUUGUUUUUAGGGGGCUAAAACUUUUCUUUACGAUUCCACGACCUUUUCUAAGAUUUACUUACACGUUGAAGGUAUCGAUC